rnacentral:rRNA from 1 species
UACGGGGGGGGCAAGCGUUGUUCGGAAUUACUGGGCGUAAAGGGCUCGUAGGCGGCCAACUAAGUCAGACGUGAAAACCCUCGGCUUAACCGGGGAACUGCGUCUGAUACUGGAUGGCUUGAGUUUGGGAGAGGGAUGCGGAAUUCCAGGUGUAGCGGUGAAAUGCGUAGAUAUCUGGAGGAACACCGGUGGCGAAGGCGGCAUCCUGGACCAGCACUGACGCUGAGUGAGCGAAAGCCAGGGGAGCAAACGGG